rnacentral:rRNA from 1 species
AAUAAGCGGAGGAAAAGAAACUUAACAAGGAUUCCCCUAGUAACGGCGAGUGAAGAGGGAAAAGCUCAAAUUUAAAAUCUGGCGGUCUUCGGCCGUCCGAGUUGUAGUUUAGAGAGGUGUCUUCCGCGUCGGACCACACACAAGUCCCUUGGGAUAGGGCUUCAUAGAGGGUGAGAAUCCCGUACAUGGUGUGGACUACCGGGGCUAUGUGAUGCACCCUCAAAGAGUCGAGUUGUUUGGGAAUGCAGCUCAAAAUGGGUGGUAAAUUCCAUCUAAAGCUAAAUAUUGGGGAGAGACCGAUAGCGCACAAGUACCGUGAGGGAAAGGUGAAAAGCACUUUGGAAAGAGAGUUAAACAGUACGUGAAAUUGCUGAAAGGGAAACGCUUGGAGUCAGUCGCGUCUGCCGAGACUCAGCCACGGUUCUCCGCGGUGUACUUCUCGGUAGAUGGGCCAGCAUCGAUUUUGUCUGCCGUACAAAGGUCGGAGGAAUGUGGCAUCUCUCGGGAUGUGUUAUAGCCUUCGAUUGUAUGCGGUGGGUGGGAUCGAGGAACGCAGCGCGCCCGCAAGGGUCGGGAUUCGUCCACGUACGCGCUAUGGAUGCUGGCGUAAUGGCUUUAAGCGACCCGUCUUGAA